AUACUUACCUUGUGGGAGCGGCCUAGCUCAAGAAUUAGGCUUGCUAUUACGGUGUCCCUGCAUUGCACAUCGCGGUGGAGGUCGUGAUUAAGUGUCCUUCGGGGCUCUUAUCCGCGCAUUUUUUGGCCC
rnacentral:snRNA from 20 species